rnacentral:rRNA from 1 species
UACGAGGGGGGCAAAUGUUGUUCGGAAUCACUGGGCGUAAAGGGAGCGUAGGCGGGCUUCUAAGUUAGGUGUUUAAUCCCGGGGCCCAACCCCGGUCGUGCACUUAAAACUGGAAGUCUUGAAUAGUGGAGAGGUCAGUGGAAUUGGGGGUGUAGCGGUGGAAUGCGUAGAGAGUCCCCAAGAACACCAGUGCGAAGGCGGCUGACUGGACACAGUAUUGACGCUGAGGCUCGAAAGCAUGGGGAGCAAACAGGG